rnacentral:rRNA from 1 species
UCUGGUUGAUCCUGCCAGAGGCCACUGCUAUCGGGGUUCGAUUAAGCCAUGCGAGUCGAGAGGUGCAAGACCUCGGCGCACUGCUCAGUAACACGUGGAUAACCUACCCUGAGGAGGGGGAUAACCCCGGAAAACUGGGGAUAAUACCCCAUAGACCAGAAGUGCUGGAAUGCUCUCUGGUCCAAAGGUCCGCCGCCUCAGGAUGGGUCUGCGGCCGAUUAGGUAGUUGUUGGGGUAAUGGCCCAACAAGCCAUUGAUCGGUACGGGUUGUGAGAGCAAGAGCCCGGAGAUGGAUUCUGAGACACGAAUCCAGGCCCUACGGGGUGCAGCAGGCGCGAAAACUUUACAAUGCUGGCAACAGCGAUAAGGGAACCUCGAGUGCCAGGUUACAAAUCUGGCUGUCGAGAUGCCUAAAAAGCAUUUCAUAGCAAGGGCCGGGCAAGACCGGUGCCAGCCGCCGCGGUAACACCGGCGGCUCGAGUGGUAACCGUUAUUAUUGGGUCUAAAGGGUCUGUAGCCGGCCGGAUAAGUCUCUUGAGAAAUCUGGCAGCUUAACUGUCAGGCUUUCAGGAGAUACUGUCUGGCUCGAGGCCGGGAGAGGUGAGAGGUACUUCAGGGGUAGGGGUGAAAUCUUGUAAUCCUUGAAGGACCACCAGUGGCGAAGGCGUCUCACCAGAACGGACCUGACGGCAAGGGACGAAAGCUAGGGGCACGAACCGGAUUAGAUACCCGGGUAGUCCUAGCCGUAAACGAUACUCGCUAGGUGUCGGCCACGGUGCGACCGUUGUCGGUGCCGUAGGGAAGCCGUGAAGCGAGCCACCUGGGAAGUACGGCCGCAAGGCUGAAACUUAAAGGAAUUGGCGGGGGAGCACCACAACGGGUGGAGCUUGCGGUUUAAUUGGAUUCAACGCCGGAAAUCUUACCGGGACCGACAGCAAUAUGAAGGCCAGGCUGAAGACUUUGCCGGAUUAGCUGAGAGGUGGUGCAUGGCCGUCGUCAGUUCGUACUGUGAAGCAUCCUGUUAAGUCAGGCAACG